rfam:Lachnoclostridium sp. An14 An14_contig_4, whole genome shotgun sequence.
GGAUACAAAGGUUCCAAAGUCGAAUAUUCGUUGCAAGCUUGCUUGCGAACGGGUGGUUGACCUUGGAACCUGCCGGAACCAUGAAUAAGGAGCCGUUUUUCGCAGAAAAACGAGCGGAUUAUGAAUGGUUCCGGCGGGAUUGCGGGAGUGCGGAGCACGGAGCAAUCCCGUAUCC